CAGUCGCCACGGUAAGACUGAGGAUGCAAGCGUUAUCCGGAAUGAUUGGGCGUAAAGCGUCUGUAGGUGGCUUUUCAAGUCCGCCGUCAAAUCCCAGGGCUCAACCCUGGACAGGCGGUGGAAACUACCAAGCUGGAGUACGGUAGGGGCAGAGGGAAUUCCCGGUGGAGCGGUGAAAUGCGUUGAGAUCGGAAAGGACACCAACGGCGAAAGCACCCUGCUGGGCCGACACUGACACUGAGAGACGAAAGCUAGGGGAGUAAAUGGGAUUAGAUACCCCUGUAGUCCCUGUCUCUUAUAC
rnacentral:rRNA from 1 species